rnacentral:sRNA from 1 species
GUGCAAUAGCGAUUGUAGCGACAUCCUUUUUAAAAAACAAAAUGGGCUAAAAACUUGGUUAGAAAUAAAAAUCAGCAGAUUGCCACGUCGUUCCUCCUCGCAAUGACGUUUUAAAAAGAUAUAGCGGAAAGCGCGGUGCUUU